ACGGUUACAUACAAUGGAAUUAGCCGGCACUAAAAACACUGACCGACGUGACUUUCACAACUACACUGAACCAAUUGCCUGCCUGUCUUUGACAGUGCUCGUAUUUAUAACCUUCCGCAGUGAUCAACAAAUUAUCUCUUUUUGCAGAGUCAGUUAAAUUGUUAUUAAAUGAAUUAUUUACAUGAAAUAGUUACAAAUGAUUCUGGUGCUCAGGUGUUUAGAUUAAAACCAUAAAUGGUGCAUUUUACUAAUAAUUACAAGUGUCAACCAAGUGAAAUAGCUGGAUUACAAAGUGUUGCAUAUGACCUUUCUCAUUUGCAUAAUAUUGGGGUUAAAAAGUGCAAAUCUGUAAAUUACAAAAGUAGUACGAUAUUACUGGUAUCGAGAACUGGGGUCGGAGUGCCGUAAGGGUCACAUAAAUAAAGAACCAUUACAAGCUGUGGGUCUUAAAACAUGAACAUUAGCUCCCAUAACGUAUUACCAAGUUUUUGAAGACUAUUGUUUCUCGUUUUGACUUUAGCUGCUGCAAAUGAAAGAUGCUGCUUAUAAGGUAUAACUGUUUUCUGAGGACUUAGGUGGAGACACCAUUUCUUGAAGUAAACAUCCAAGACUUCCAUAUCAGUGGUUAAACAGGUGUCAGCAUCAGAAACAUUGUGGCUUUGGGUCACCAAGCAAAUGUCAUCAGCAUAAAUCAAUUAUCAAUUUUCUUGAAGAUGUUUUUGGUAAGUUGUGCAUAUACAGACCAAACUAGAGGGGACCCAGAAAAGACUCUUGAAGUAUACCCACAUUUCAUUUAACUACCCUGCAUCUGUUAUUGUCAGAAUAGAUAUGAAAAUAUCUAUUGCUUAGCAUGUUAUUAAGUAAGUCCUUAAAAUUAUGACACAGGAUAACAAUUAUGAAUUUCUAAAUAUGUUCUUUUCACCAAGCAGUGUUGGAAGCAGCUAAUAGAUGCAAAAAGGCAGUUACAGUUAGUAAUUUAUGCUCCUGCCCAUUUUUGGUAUAAGUAACAAGAGAGACUACCUCUUCAUUAAAUUAAUGUUUUAAGCUGUUCUAGUGCCCUUAUUUUUAAUGAAAGAGUGUGUCUUGAUUGUCCCUUUACAUUCAGGGUUCCUCUCUGUAAGCUUGUUGCUGCAGCCAACAGUCUGUUGAAAAUAUGACUCAUUUGUCAGCAUGGUAUGUUUUCAUUAUUUCUAUUUGCUUGUUUCUAUAAUAUCUUAAACCUGUUUACUGUUCACAUUAACCAGAUAGGUCAAUAGUUCUGAGAUAUGGUAUUAGAUGAGAUGGUGUUCUACCCUGCAGUGUACAUAGUCACAGAGUAUUUACCAUGAGUGGCAAAUUAUCACUACCUAACUUCCAUUUCAUAGAAAUAAAGUAUGUUCUUGAACAUUAUUAAAGUAAAUUAAA